GGGGUCGGCUCAAACUUCCAGGCUGAACCUCAAUUGCUGGUCCCUCGAGCUUAACAUGCAAGUAUUCAUUAUGGUCCUUUUGUCUGUGGAAUGACCCCACACACCAAGCCACAGCCAAGGGAAUAACAAGGCUGUGAGCUCAUUGACUGAAGGGCUGAUUCAUCUCUGUGCACAGUACCAUCCUGCAUAACACAUUUUCCAGCUUCAUCCACGUUGCAUGAAUCAGCCCUAUCGUGUGAACAUACCACCCAUAUUCACCCAUCCGCCCAACUAUGGACCCCUGCGUUGUUUCUCGGUGGUGAUUAUGUUGAAGUUUUGGAGGAUACGUAUUUCCUUUUCUGUCGAGUAAAUACCUUAUGCAAUGCAGAAACAUGCUGCUCAUCCCUCCUGUGAGAGAACACGCUGCUGGGGGCCCAGACAGCCAACACCCCAGCGCUGCCCCUCUGAACCCACCUCCCCCAGCUGCUCCCAGCCAGCAACCAAGCACAGAAGGAGAGGGGUGAUUCGUGUCUGCCCAUUCCUGCAGGAUGUGGGGCUCCCCCGGACCCUGGGGUUCAGGGCCUCCCCUUCAGCCUGGCCCAGCCUCUUCUAAAGCUGCACCAAGGUUCGAGGCUUUUCUGAGCUCUUAUGGGCUUCACUGUGUCCCCUCAAAUCCGUACGUUGGAGUCCUGACCCUUGUAUCCCAGAAUGUGACUGUAUUUGGCGACAGGGCCUUUCAAGAGGUGAUUAAAUUAAAAUAAGGUUAUUAACCUGGACUCUAAUCCGAUCUGCCUGGUACCUUCAUAAGAAGAAGAGACUAGGACACAGAUACACACGCACACAGGAAAAACCCUGUGAGGACAGAGCAAGAAGGGGCCACCUGCAAGCCAAGGAGAAGGGACUCCGAAGGAACCCAGACUGCCAACACACUGAGCGUGGACUUGUAGCCUCCAGAAGUGGGAGCAGAGAUCUGCUGUUGAGCCCCGGUCUGGGCAGCCCGAGCAGACCAAGAUGCCACCCAACCUUCCUCCCGGCCCCUCUCCUUGCUCAAGGCGGCAGGCUUCCUCCCCCUCAUCCUCACAAUAAAUUUCUGCAGGUCU